GACGAACGCUGGCGGCGCGCCUAACACAUGCAAGUCGAACGGAGUUGUUUUCUUCACUCCGAGCUUUUUGCCAGUUAGCCGGAGCGGCAAUCGGUUUUGCCCAGCAUAAAAAGCAAAACCGAUUUAGGCUCAUAAAGUAAGGCUAACACAGAGGGCAGAGAGUUGGGAGUGAAGAAAAUAACUUAGUGGCGAACGGGUGAGUAACGCGUGAGUAACCUGCCCUGGAGUGGGGGACAACAGUUGGAAACGACUGCUAAUACCGCAUAAGCCCACGGCCCGGCAUCGGGCUGCGGGAAAAGGAUUUAUUCGCUUCAGGAUGGACUCGCGUCCAAUUAGCUAGUUGGUGAGGUAACGGCCCACCAAGGCGACGAUUGGUAGCCGGACUGAGAGGUUGAACGGCCACAUUGGGACUGAGACACGGCUCAGACUCCUACGGGAGGCAGCAGUGGGGGAUAUUGCACAAUGGGGGAAACCCUGAUGCAGCGACGCCGCGUGGAGGAAGAAGGUUUUCGGAUUGUAAACUCCUGUCGUUAGGGACGAUAAUGACGGUAC
rnacentral:rRNA from 1 species